GACGAACGCUGGCGGCGUGCUUAACACAUGCAAGUCGAACGGAAAGGCCCUGCUUUUGUGGGGUGCUCGAGUGGCGAACGGGUGAGUAACACGUGAGUAACCUGCCCUUGACUUUGGGAUAACUUCAGGAAACUGGGGCUAAUACCGGAUAGGAGCUCCUGCUGCAUGGUGGGGGUUGGAAAGUUUCGGCGGUUGGGGAUGGACUCGCGGCUUAUCAGCUUGUUGGUGGGGUAGUGGCUUACCAAGGCUUUGACGGGUAGCCGGCCUGGGAGGGUGACCGGCCACAUUGGGACUGAGAUACGGCCCAGACUCCUACGGGAGGCAGCAGUGGGGAAUAUUGCACAAUGGGCGGAAGCCUGAGGCAGCAACGCCGCGUGCGGGAUGACGGCCUUCGGGUGGUAAACCGCUUUCGCCUGUGACGAAGCGUGAGUGACGGUAAUGGGUAAAGAAGCACCGGCUAACUACGUG
rnacentral:rRNA from 1 species